GGUGAACGCUGGCGGCGUGCUUAAGACAUGCAAGUCGAACGGCAGUCUUCGGACUGUAGUGGCGCACGGGUGAGUAACGCGUAACUGACCUACCCCAAAGUCGCGGAUAACGAAUCGAAAGAAUCGCCAAUACGUGAUGUGCUGUCAGAUUGUGUUCUGCCAGUAAAGAUUGAUUGCUUUGGGAUGGGGUUGCGUUCCAUCAGCUAGUUGGUGGGGUAAAGGCCCACCAAGGCGACGACGGAUAGCCGGCCUGAGAGGGUGGCCGGCCAAAGGGGCACUGAGACACGGGUCCCACUCCUACGGGAGGCAGCAGUUAGGAAUCUUCCACAAUGGGCGAAAGCCUGAUGGAGCGACGCCGCGUGAGGGAUGAAGGUCUUCGGAUCGUAAACCUCUGAAUCAGGGACGAAAGACACUUCGGUGGGAUGACGGUACCUGAGUAAUAGCACCGGCUAACUCCGUGCCAGCCGCCGCCGUAACAC
rnacentral:rRNA from 1 species